CGGGUACAGCUCUGCCAGCAGCCGCAGCCGCCGGCCGCUGCUUCCCCCAGCGCCCCGCUCCCACCCCGGGAGUAGUGGAGGGGCCUCUUCCCCAGCACCCGAAGGGAUGGCUUUCCAGCAAGUUCCAUGGGGCCUGUGCAGUACUUCAGCAACUUCUCUACUAUCCAGUGAGCCACGGCCGGCCCGUCCCUCUCCAACAAGCUUCUAGAGGCUGCCUGCAUUCCGUGGCCCAUGGCUCCUCCCUCCCGUCGCUCCGCCCUCUUGCUCCCCUGGGGAACAUCUACUACUCGCUGUGAUCUCCGCUCCCCCUUAGAAGGACCCCUGUGACACCCGGCCCAUGUGAUGAUCCAGGAUAACCGCCCCAUCUCAAGAUCCUUGACUUGAUCACGACAGUGAAGUCCCUCUGACCCCGUAAGAUGAGGAGAAGGCGCGGAGUGACUUGCCCAAGACCCCAUAAAACGGGAUUCAACCCAACAUAUCUGCCUCGAGAUUCUGCCUGCUUAACAUCUUACUGUAUUUACUCUGAAGCAGCUGGCCUGGUGCUCAUGGAACCUGCGCCUCCUGCCCUAAGACCCCUACACGUCAUGGGGGGGAGGGGCUUGCAGGGCUGCUGGGACUUGUCCUGGCCGGCGACGGGGGGACAGCCAGCAGCACAGAGCCCAGGCUGCCAUUUCCUGUUGCUAGGGCUUUCAGAGCUUCGGGGCGCUCCUCUGCACAGGAGAGCACCAGCGCUCCGUCACAGGGCAGUGAUGGGGAGCUGGUGUUACCUCCAUUUCAUAGUCGAUGGCGUGGAGGCUCACGAUGUGAAGGUAGGGUGGGCACAGGUAAGAACUUGGAAUCCUUCCUAAGACACCAGCAUCUCUGUGCUGAGUGAGUUUCACUGCAGAAGCAGGAUUAGUUAACAGAGAAUUUGUAGGGACGUUCCCCUUUUGGAUUCUCCAUUUGUAACUAGGCUUUCUGGUGUGCCCUGCCCAGACUGUUCUAGACUUGGCCCCCGCCUCCCUCUGUUUUUCUGUGCACUGGGGACUCCCAGGUCUCCCCCAGCCCAGGGGUCUUCCCUUUCCGCACCUGUUGCAUCUCCAGGCGAGGCCCCUUGCAUUGCACAGACCAAACAUUUGCCAAGAGAACUAGACGCCACCACGUGAGCCCUAUGUUCUCAAACAUGGUCCCCUUCAACCAUGGCUCCGAACUGUCGCCUCUCCAUCACUUCACACCCCAAACACACAGCUGGGGCUCUGGCUCAUCUCUCCAGUACGAUGAAGUUCUAGACUCUGGAUUCUGGCAUUCAAGACCUCUACUUGGUCCCUUCCAGUGACAGUAAGCCCCCCUG